rnacentral:rRNA from 1 species
UACGGGGGGAGCAAGCGUUGUUCGGAUUUACUGGGCGUAAAGGGCGCGUAGGCGGCCAGCACAAGUCAGUUGUGAAAUCUCCGGGCUUAACUCGGAAAGGUCAACUGAUACUGUGCGGCUAGAGUGCAGAAGGGGCAACUGGAGUUCUCGGUGUAGCGGUGAAAUGCGUAGAUAUCGAGAGGAACACCUGCGGCGAAGGCGGGUUGCUGGGCUGACACUGACGCUGAUGCGCGAAAGCCAGGGGAGCGAACGGG